UGGCAACAAAAUUUGUUAGGACACUAGGCUAUAUAGGUGUACAAGAACCUGAUGUGACUGUAGAGAAUGUUAAGGAAACUUAUAUAAGCUACUUCCUUGAGCAGCUCCAACCUGUCAGAAAGUGUGAAAAUGUCUUCUGCUCACAUCUGAGAAAAAGAUGCACAGCUGAAUCAAGGAAUGGCUGCGAAAGAGGCCUAGAUUUGCAAAUGUACUCAGGCAUCUCCCACCACUGAUACUGUUAAACUGGACUGAAAGCCUGGAUCCCACAGAUCUGAACUUGCAACGUGGGAUGAAAGCAUAAUGAAGAUCAUAAAGAUCAUAGUGAAGAUCGUUAAGAUCAUAAUGAAGAGCAUAAAGAUCAGUGAAUUACUGUGAAGGCUGUUUAGUUAACUUAUGCUUUAGCACAGCUGCCUUUCUAAGACUAGAUGCUAUUUUACAUUAGCACCUGUUCCUGUACAACUACUCCAAAAGAAGAAGACUGGGUUAAAAAAAAUAAAUAGUUUUGCUGUUAAAAGGCAUAGAUUGUUAUAACGGGUUCCAUAUUGGAUGGCCUUUGAGAUCUUGAAUUUGUCACUCACCCUUCCUGUACAUCAGCUCUUUCUUCUGUAAAUUAGCUUAAUUAUAUGUUCCUGCUUUAUAAAAUCAGUGGGAGGCCUGGUUCAGCCUUCUUCAGUUUGGUUCUUUCAUUAAUGAUUUAAUGUGCUUGGAGAUUACUGGGUGCAAAGGUACAUAAAAGGGAAGUUAAAUUAAACAAAGAUAGUCUAGAAAAAGGAAAUAAAAAUAAAACAGUGACAGUUCCACACACUUUCACAAAGUUAGUUUUUCCUAUUUCUUGUAUGCUGCAUUCUUCAAUGUAAAAUAUUAUAGAUAUUUUCUUUUCCAUUUGACAAGCAGAGAGAGUUUGGAGACACUCUGCAAUUUGUGAAUAUAGCAUUUUCCUUUGAAAAUAAUCUGAUUUGAAAAAGUGAUUAUCUGCUUCCUAAGCAGUAUUUCUGCUGCUGAAAUACUAUAUUUCAACAAAUAUAAACACUUCAAUGAGACUAAAUAUGAAGAUUGCAUUUGUGUAAGUUCACACUUGCUCUUAACUUCCAAAGUCAUCAGGUACUGCAAUACUUUCUACAUUUGUAUUUCUGAAGGAAGAAAUCAACCUGUUUGUGUCUGAGAUUUAACCAAUGUAUACAGGAUAGUCUUAGCAGAAGGAUGACAAAAGUGACACAAUAACCUAAUGACCCUAUGUAAAAUUUCUGUUCAUUGUGUCUCAUAGUAUGAUAUUUUGGCAAUGUCAUUUGAAAUGGUUUAGAGGAAGACACACACACACACACACACACUAAAGCAAUUACCAAGUACAUCUUCUCCGCUCCAUCUAACACAACACAGGAGUUUUGUAGUUCAAAAUUUGAGAAAAUAUAUUAUUAAUAUGACUCUGCAUAAUCUUAUUAGUUGCUUAGUUGGAAAAGCAUGUAAUAUUUACACAGAUUCCUGCUACCAACAAUUAAACAAACACUAAUAUGUUACUACUGCAUUUGGAAGCGUAUUUUUCUAUAGUAUGUCUGAUGUACGAGUGAGAAAAAAAUUAGAUGGAUGUAAAAAAAAAUAAAAAUCAUUGACAUAGUUUUUAAAAAUAAUGAAUUGAGUGUUAUUUCCAACAGGAAGUACCACACCCAAAGAUAAUGAUUUAGAAUUCAGAAUGUUAUCCUGUUCAUUUCUUACUUUGCAGAGUGCACUAAUGUAUAGAUAUAUCCCACUGUCAUACAUGCUGUUUAUACCCAAAGCAAUUUGAUUUUUUUGUAAUAGAUAUUGAAAUGAAGGAGUAUUCCUUCUGCAUGAUCACGUAGGACUAUGGCAUUUAAAGGUCAUCAUGAAAAGCAUCUUCCAGGCACCUACUAUCAACAGUAACCUCUCAGAGUAUUGACUGAUAAUGAUUAUGUAUUGUUAAAAGCAUUUUCUGUCAAAUAGAAAUAAAUGUUUUUCAUAUUGUU